rnacentral:sRNA from 1 species
CCCUAGCCCUGAUGGAAGCGGCAUCCUUUUAUACCAAAAACCCUUUCAGUUAUUAAUACUGAAAGGGUUUUUGGUAUAAAAAGAUAUAGCGUACAGCAGGAUAAAGC